UAGGGAAUCUUCCACAAUGGACGCAAGUCUGAUGGAGCAACGCCGCGUGAGUGAAGAAGGUUUUCGGACCGUAAAGCUCUGUUGUUGGUGAAGAAGGAUAGAGGUAGUAACUGGCCUUUAUUUGACGGUAAUCAACCAGAAAGUCACGGCUAACUACGUGCCAGCAGCCGCGGUAAUACGUAGGUGGCAAGCGUUGUCCGGAUUUAUUGGGCGUAAAGCGAGCGCAGGCGGAAGAAUAAGUCUGAUGUGAAAGCCCUCGGCUUAACCGAGGAAUUGCAUCGGAAACUGUUUUUCUUGAGUGCAGAA
rnacentral:rRNA from 1 species